AGCUCCAAUAGCGUAUAUUAAAGUUGCUGCAGUUAAAAAGCUCGUAGUUGGAUUUGUGGCGCGGCCGUCCGGCGGGGGCUCUUCACUGAGCCCGUUUGUCCUGGUUUUCGGCCGCUCCUUUCUCGGGUAGCGUGUGGCUGGCAUUAGGUUGUUGGCCGCUUCGCGCCCGUCUUUUACUGUGAAUACAUUAGCAUGGAAUAAUAAGAUAGGGCCACGACGGUCUAUUUUGUUGGUUUGCACGUUGUGGUAAUGGUUAACAGGAAUAGUUGGGGGUAUUCGUAUUCAAUUGUCAGAGGUGAAAUUCUUGGAUUUGUGGAAGACGAACUACUGCGAAAGCAUUUACCAAGGAUGUUUUCA
rnacentral:rRNA from 1 species